rnacentral:rRNA from 1 species
AUUGAACGCUGGCGGCAGGCUUAACACAUGCAAGUCGAGCGGAGAGAGGUAGCUUGCUACUGAUCUUAGCGGCGGACGGGUGAGUAAUGCUUAGGAAUCUGCCUAUUAGUGGGGGACAACAUUUCGAAAGGAAUGCUAAUACCGCAUACGUCCUACGGGAGAAAGCAGGGGAUCUUCGGACCUUGCGCUAAUAGAUGAGCCUAAGUCGGAUUAGCUAGUUGGUGGGGUAAAGGCCUACCAAGGCGACGAUCUGUAGCGGGUCUGAGAGGAUGAUCCGCCACACUGGGACUGAGACACGGCCCAGACUCCUACGGGAGGCAGCAGUGGGGAAUAUUGGACAAUGGGCGGAAGCCUGAUCCAGCCAUGCCGCGUGUGUGAAGAAGGCCUUAUGGUUGUAAAGCACUUUAAGCGAGGAGGAGGCUACUUUAGUUAGUACCUAGAGAUAGUGGACGUUACUCGCAGAAUAAGCACCGGCUAACUCUGUGCCAGCCGCCGCAGUAA